rnacentral:rRNA from 1 species
UACGGGGGGGGCAAGCGUUGUUCGGAAUUACUGGGCGUAAAGGGCUCGUAGGUGGCCAACUAAGUCGGACGUGAAAUCCCUCAGCUUAACCGGGGAACUGCAUCUGAUACUGGAUGGCUUGAGUUCGGGAGAGGGAUGCGGAAUUCCAGGUGUAGCGGUGAAAUGCGUAGAUAUCUGGAGGAACACCGGUGGCGAAGGCAGCAUCCUGGACAACACCUGACACUGAGGCACGAAAGCUAGGGGAGCAAACAGG